rnacentral:rRNA from 1 species
UAGGGAGGGUGCAAGCGUUGUCCGGAUUUAUUGGGUUUAAAGGGUGCGUAGGCGGCCUUGUAAGUCAGUGGUGAAAUCCAGCAGUUUAACUGCUGAAGGGCCAUUGAUACUGCAGGGCUUGAGUGCUGAUGAGGUAGGCGGAAUUGACGGUGUAGCGGUGAAAUGCAUAGAUAUCGUCAAGAACCCCGAUUGCGAAGGCAGCUUACGGGGCAGUAACUGACGCUGAGGCGCGAAAGCGUGGGGAUCAAACAGG